rfam:HIV-1 MS2004-37_044 from Australia, genomic sequence.
UGACUAGCGGAGACUAGAAGAAA